rnacentral:tRNA from 4 species
ACCAGGAACCAGAAUUGAACUGGUGACACGAGGAUUUUCAGUCCUCUG